rnacentral:rRNA from 1 species
GAUGAACGCUGGCGGCGUGCUUAACACAUGCAAGUCGAACGGAAAGGCUCCUGCUUGCAGGGGUACUCGAGUGGCGAACGGGUGAGUAACACGUGGGUGAUCUGCCCUGCACUUCGGGAUAAGCCUGGGAAACUGGGUCUAAUACCGGAUAGGACGAUGGUUUGGAUGCCAUUGUGGAAAGUUUUUUCGGUGUGGGAUGAGCUCGCGGCCUAUCAGCUUGGUGGUGGGGUAAUGGCCUACCAAGGCGUCGCCGGGUAGCCGGCCUGAGAGGGUGUACGGCCACAUUGGGACUGAGAUACGGCCCAGACUGCUACGGGAGGCAGCAGUGGGGAAUAUUGCACAAUGGGCGCAAGCCUGAUGCAGCGACGCCGCGUGGGGGAUGACGGCCUUCGGGUUGUAAACUCCUUUCGCUAGGGACGAAGCGCAAGUGACGGUACCUGGAGAAGAAGCACCGGCUAACUACGUG